CUGCCUAUCGGAGCAGCCUCCCAACUCCUACUUGCGUGCAAGCAGGAGCGGGGCGGGGAUGUCUCAGUUAGGCAAGGGGAAGCCUCCUUUCCCAGAUGUGGGAUCCCUGCCCCCUCCUGCUUGCACGCAAAUAAGAAUGGGAUUGGGGCUGCUCUGAUGGGAAG